GGUGUCAAGCCCGCAAGCGUAAUGAAAGUAAACGGAGGUGGGAACCCUUACGGGUGCACCAUCGACCGAUCCUGAUGUCUUCGGAUGGAUUUGAGUAAGAGCAUAGCUGUUGGGACCCGAAAGAUGGUGAAMUAUGCCUGUGUAGGCUGAAGUCAGAGGAAACUCUGACGGAUUUCCAGCGGUUCUGACGUGCAAAUCGAUCGUCAAACAUGGGUAUAGGGGCGAAA
rnacentral:rRNA from 1 species